UUUUGAGCCUUUUGUAGCGUCCUGCUGGACCAACAUAACCUGCCAGCACCCAUCCCUAACAUCUGACUCAUAACAUGCUGCUCACCCCCCCUAGAAUAGGUAUAUAAAGCGGUGUUACCUACUUCUUCGUAAAUAUAAGGCUAAUAGCUGGAAGAUCAGCAAGGAGUUUGAGAAAGCUCUCAUGCUGCCCAAUAUAAAGGAUAUGACUAGGUAUGUCGAUUUUGAUUGAAGAGUUUCUAGAGCCCGCUGGAAAGAAACCUGCUGGAACCAAGUAACCUGUCAGCAAUCGUCCUCAAUAUAUGACUACUGCUCAUCUCUAGUAUAAAAGUUACAUGGACCAUGAAAGAAGGCUAGUAUGGGACACUAGUAGUUCUAUCAUUCAAAACUCACUCUUAUUGAAUGUUAUCUAUAAGAGUGACUUCAAAAGUUAAUCGUGGAGAAGCUCGCAAGGAGUUCGAGAAGGUUCUAGUGCUGCCCAACAUGGAGGACAUACUGAUUGACGUCAUGACCCCCACGCCUGUGGACUACGAGUAGGAUAUGACUAGGUGCAAUAUUAACGAAGCCGCUGAAAAAAGGGGCAGAUUCUAGAGGAGGUACUAAAGAAAUGCGACUGAACAGAAUGAAGACAAGUUGAGUAAUUAUUUUGAGCACAUUAUAGUGCACUUUAUAAAUGUAGAAUUUAUUUAUUUGACUGGACAAAACUUGCCAAAUGUAUUUUUGAACAUCUAAAGUAUUUUAUUCGCCUUGAUUUCGUUUAAAUUGUUUAUUGUAUGGAAAAGUAUGCGUUUCUGUCAAUACUCUCUGCAUUUAGGUUUAACUAGUAGAUUUCCUGUGUGUUUUAGGUAGAUUUGUAAUUUAUGUGCAACAAUUACAUUCAAUGUAUCAAAAACGCAACUAACCCUAUAUCAUGAAGGAUUUUUGAAAUGGAGCAGUAAGGGCAUUUACACUCGUAAACAAGUAAAUGUCAUAAAGAAACAUCCCCUGACUUUUAGAGUUAUUUUAACUCCAUUCACUGAUUGAAAAUAAAUUAAACAAAAUGCCCUGUCUCAAAAAUCCAUUUUGUCUCACUGACCCACACUGGUUUAUUUUACAAAAGACUUCUUGAUCACAAAUCGAGGUCAUCCUGCGUAAACAAAUGAGAAACGAAAUUAGUGUAGCAUUUAUCUCUAGAUGUAUAUUAGAUAUUAUAUUUGAAUUCGGUGGCCCUCUUCAAUCUGUGCUAACAUAAAUGACUAAAGAAUAUUGGAUUGCUGACUGGUAAAAUUCCCCUUCUCCUUGUUAAAGUAGCAAGUAUACUUAUUUUUAACUACCGGGUCGAAUUCACGUCGAUGUUGUAUAUUUAUCAUAGAACGCGUCUUCGUCAACUUAGUUGAACCCUAUUUUUAGUCUCUGCCCUGUGUCAUAGACACGACAAAAUUAUUUGCUAGGGAAGCUCCUAAAGAAAUCGUAUAUAUUUUUUGAGUGAAAUUAAACCAUUUUUAUAAUUGCGUAGUUGCUUUAAUAUUAAUGUUUUUCAUUUAGUUAUUUUUCUACAUAAGUGUGCUGGUGUAUCUAAACGUAUCCAUUAUUUUCUGUGAUGUUCUGUUACACUCAGUAAUUUUAGUUAAAAAAGUGCUUUUUCGUCUCAAUUUUAUUUUAAUCUACGGGAUUUAUAAAAUACCUGAGAAACGGCUGCACACAAGUUCGUAGAAUCUUUUAGAGUAUGAUAAUUAUUAAAACUGCACUUUUUUUACUAUGUUAUAAUUUUAAAUGGUGCCUCAAUGUUCACUUUUGC